GACGAACCACACGAACGUUAUUCGGAAUCACUGGGCUUAAAGGGUGCGUAGGCUGCGCAGAAAGUUGGGUGUGAAAUCCCUCGGCUCAACCGAGGAACUGCGCCCAAAACUACUGUGCUCGAGGGAGAUAGAGGUGAGCGGAACUUAGGGUGGAGCGGUGAAAUGCGUUGAUAUCCUAAGGAACUCCGGCGGCGAAAGCGGUGCACUGGUUGAUUUCUGACGCUGAGGUGCGAAAGCCAGGGGAGCAAACGGG
rnacentral:rRNA from 1 species